rnacentral:rRNA from 1 species
AGCAGCCGCGGUAAUUCCAGCUCCAAUAGCGUAUAUUAAAGUUGUUGCAGCUAAAAAGCUCGUAGUUGAAUUUCGGGGUUAGUAGGUUGGUCGUGCCACUGGUACGUACUGGUCUCACUGAUUCCUCCCUCUUGAAGAACCGUAAUGUUAUUAAUUUGGUGUUGCGGGGAAUCAGGACUGUUACUUUGAAAAAAUUAGAGUGUUUAAAGCAGGCUUACGCUUGAAUACAUUAGCAUGGAAUAAUGAAAUAGGACGUAUGAUCCUAUUUUGUUGGUUUCUAGGAUUGACGUAAUGAUUAAUAGGGAUAGUUGGGGGCAUUAGUAUUCAAUUGUCAGAGGUGAAAUUCUUGGAUUUAUUGAAGACUAACUACUGCGAAAGCAUUUGCCAAGGAUGUUUUCAUUAAUCAAGAACGAAAGUUAGGGGAUCGAAGACGAUCAGAUACCGUCGUAGUCUUAACCAUAAACUAUGCCGACUAGGGAUCGGAUGAUGUUAUUUUUUAAUGACUCAUUCGGCGCCUUAC